rnacentral:rRNA from 1 species
UUCGCAAUGCCCGAAAGGGUGACGAAGCGACGCCGCGUGCGGGAAGAAGGCCUUCGGGUUGUAAACCGCUGUCGGGAGUUAAGAAGUGCAAGGGUGUUAAUAGCAUCUUUGCUUGACUAAGGCUCCGGAGGAAGCCACGGCUAACUCUGUGCCAGCAGCCGCGGUAAUACAGAGGCGGCAAGCGUUGUUCGGAAUUAUUGGGCGUAAAGAGCACGUAGGCGGCCUUGCAAGUCAGUUGUGAAAGCCUUCCGCUCAACGGAAGAAUGCCAGCUGAUACUACAGGGCUUGAGUACGGGAGGGGAGAGUGGAACUUCUGGUGGAGCGGUGAAAUGCGUAGAUAUCAGAAGGAACGCCGGCGGCGAAAGCGGCUCUCUGGCCCGUAACUGACGCUGAGUGUGCGAAAGCUAGGGGAGCAAACGGGAUUAGAUACCCCGGUAGUCCUAGCCGUAAACGAUGGGCACUAAGUAGAGGGGUUUU